GCUCUAGAGAGGACAAGGAACCUUCCAAGGCCUUCCAGCGGGACGCCUUAAGGCGCCACAAGGCGUUGGAAAAGGAGUUUGAUAGGCGAUCCAGGGAGUCACUU